rnacentral:rRNA from 1 species
CAGUCGCCGCGGUAAUACGAAGGGUGCAAGCGUCAAUCGGAAUUACUGGGCGUAAAGCGUGCGUAGGCGGUUUGUUAAGUCUGUUGUGAAAUCCCCGGGCUCAACCUGGGAAUGGCAAUGGAUACUGGCAAGCUAGAGUGUGUCAGAGGAUGGUGGAAUUCCCGGUGUAGCGGUGAAAUGCGUAGAGAUCGGGAGGAACAUCAGUGGCGAAGGCGGCCAUCUGGGACAACACUGACGCUGAGGCACGAAAGCGUGGGGAGCAAACAGGAUUAGAUACCCCCGUAGUCCCUGUCUCUUAUAC